rnacentral:tRNA from 1 species
UGCAGAUGAGUGGCACAGGAUAACCACGCUUGGCUCAUAACCAAGAGAUUACGGGUUCGACUCCCGUAUCUGCAU